rnacentral:rRNA from 1 species
AUACGGAGGGUGCAAGCGUUACUCGGAAUCACUGGGCGUAAAGCGCGCGCAGGCGGGCUGAUAAGUUGGAUGUGAAAGCCUACGGCUCAACCGUAGAACUGCAUCCAAAACUGUCAGUCUAGAGUCUGGGAGGGGAAGAUGGAAUUAGUUGUGUAGGGGUAAAAUCCGUAGAGAUAACUAGGAAUACCAAAAGCGAAGGCGAUCUUCUGGAACACUACUGACGCUGAGGCGCGAAAGCGUGGGGAGCAAACAGGAUUAGAAACCCCAGUAGUCC